CAGGGUUGUGCAGUUCAAAACUCUAUGGAAAGCAGGUCUCAGAGAGUAGUAACAGCUGGCUUAUCUGCAAAGUGCAGGCUUUCAGUCCAUAUUGUAACAGAAGACAUUAGGAUAAUCCUGUUAAACAAAAGCUUCUCAUUUUUCUCCAAAUGCAGCAUGAUGUUUGACAGAGCAGAGAUUUUCAAUGUUGCAUCAAGAGGCUGUUGAUGCUGCCAGACCCUUUGGCCCAAAUGCAUCCAUAUUCAAAUUUAUGAGAUGUGCCCUUGUGUGGUGUUCCCUCUUUGCUGCUAACAGAUGGAGAAGGAAGCUGCUGACCUCAUCGCUCCAUGGUCAGGGAUGACUUUGGCGGAUUCUCCUUUAUCAUCACAACAACUUGAGGAGCUAUAGAGUCUCUGUCCACAUUGGAAGCUUCCAAAUGCAGACAUCACACCCGGUCCUCUUAUGAUAUGGAGAUAGCCAGACCUGCUGAUGCUGGAGUCAGCGACAACACUGUAUGGAGCUGGAGGAACACAGGACUCAGCAUUAUUAUUGCAAAUAACCUUCCUACCCAUCCCUCGAUUCCCUUCCAGCCCCGCCUCCUCCCUUCCACUCCACCUUCUGACCCUCCCUUCCAGCCACCAACUGCAUUCAACUCUCCCAUUGACCAACCAGGCUGUACCUACCACCAGUGCCCACCUAUCCCCACCAUUCCACCCCCACCCCUUUUCCCCACACCCUCUUUAUCUGCAGCUCCCCCUAUUCCCACAUCCAGUCCUGAAGAAGGGUAAUACCGAAAGGUUGACUUCUCCUUUCCUCCAGAUGCUGCCUGACCUACUGUGUUAUUCCAGCCUCCGGUCUAUCUAUCUUUCAUUAUUCUACCUAUUCUACUUCCAUUCUUCUAAACAACAUUCAUAUCUGUUCCCAUUCUUAAACAGCUAAGUAUUACUUGUGUAAAAUUGUUUUCAGAUACUAGUUUCAUAAUUGACAGCAGAAAGUUACAUAAUAUGACCAAUCUCUGAAUACGGCAAAAUUUUCUAAGGCAUCCUUUUAAUAUUCUUAAUGAUUACUUUAAAUUUUAAAGAUAAAUCUCACUGAUGGUAGCAAUUGGAAAUCAUUUAUUACACUUGCAGUUAUCAUAACACAUCAAAUUCUUUACCUCAAUUCUAACUACACUUCUCAUGUUUUUGAGACGCUGCUUGUACUCGGUUUUCAACUGAUAACAAUAAUUAUUUCUGGCGUGUAAAGAAUCCUUUUGAUU